CCGCCCCCGCCCCCGGGGCUGCCCCAGGGCCGCGCAGGGAAGGCCCGCGGGUGCCCGGGGCUCCGGCGCCGCGUGUCUCCGCCGGGAGGGCCUCAGCCCCGCCCCGCGCCGCCCGGUGUGCAGGGAAGGAAGCAGCGCAGCUCGGACCAGGGGCCGGAGACCUGGGACCGCCCUGCCCCCCCCCCCCAGGCUCUGCCCAGCCCCGGCAGCCCCCGCCCAGGCGGGAGCGAGCAACGGGCAGCGCAGGCGGGAGCGGGAGCGGGAGUGCAGCCGGGGGGGGAGCCAGGAGUGGGGGAGGAGUUUGGGGACCUCAGAGACUUGCGGCACAAGCAGAAGCAUCGCUGGUGCCUGAGGCUGCAUCCCCACUGAGGAGGGCCCGGGCGGGGAUAGCUGGGGAAAGGCUAGAGGCAGCAUUGAGGGAAUGGGAGGAGGAUCAGAGAGCUGGCCGGCGCUUUGGAGCACCCCGAGACGGCUACAAGAGCCCCAGUCCCCUGGUCCCAGGGGCUUCAAGCCUUGAGGAGCUGCGUCGAGCCAAGCGCUGUGCCUAGCUCGGGGUCAGCAGGGGCAGCCCUAGAGUCCAGACCCCAUGUCUGGAGCGCUGGGAUCAGUGGGGGCAGGGCAGGGGCUGGGUGGGCAGCGCUGGGCAGUGCCUAUCCCACCGUGGGUUUCCACUCCAGCCUUGCAGAAUAUCUGUGUGGCUAAAUGCUCGAGAGCAAGAGGAGAGGCCUGGGCCACAGAGGGCAGAGCCCACCUGGUCAAGGAGGCCCCGCUGCUGCCUGUCUUCUUGGUGGUACCCCAACAUCAGGGGAUCCCAUGGCAGCUCUGCCCCAUCUGACAUGAGAAGCAGCAACUGGAUGUGCCCUGGGCACUCUGGCAUUGCCAGAAACCCCUUUCUCCUCCUCCCUCCUGUAUAGCUCCAGGGGGACCAUUCUCACCAGUCUGUGGACCCUGUCCCCUGAGAGACACCAGUGGGAGCCCUGGACAAGGCCCCUCUCCAAGCCUGAGGACUCCUCACACUGAGGGUGGAAAAAAUUGUGCCAGGUCCUUGGUGGAGCAGGCUGAAUCCACCACCAGUAUGGUUGCACAAAGCAGAGAGUCUGUGCAUCUUCAGCCACUGCCGAUGUCCCACAAUAAAGUUUCCAGGACUGACCAGACAGCCAAAAUCUGGUGGCCUUCAUUGCAUCUGGUAAAUGAGGUCAGAAGGUCUAUAUAAGCCAAAGGUGCCCAGGAGGAGGGGCAGCAGCCAUGAGGAAGACACAGGUAUGAAAUGAACUGCCUGCCUCCAGAGGAAAGCCCUGUCAGCCUCUGGAUGAUACUUGUGAGUAAGCUAUUUUAGUUUUCUCUAGAUAGAUAGCUUGCAGUAACACAGAUGUGUGAUAAAAGGCUACCCAGCCACCCUGUCUGCGCUAAGGUAUGUCUCUGAUAGUGCUCUAUCCUGUACCCUACUCCAAACCUACUCCUUGUACUCGAUGAAGUUAUCCUAGGUACCUAGUGUGGGAGACUUAUUGGGAGAGGGUCUAGAUUCUGCCUUGGGGUCCCCUUGGUUCGGUUGACUAAGGGUGACUGAUUUGUGCUUCAGACUAAGGGAAGCACCCCAAGUUCUUCCAGUGGGUUGAGUACCCUCAAAGGUACAAGGUCUGUGUACCCCAGGGGGCACAGGGCCUAGAAACAGUCCAGACUCUGCAUGGUGGCAGUGUUACCCCCAGGCUUGCGGGUGUGCUCCAGGAACGGGGCCGGUCAGACAUGAGGCGCCCCCAAAGAGGCACCUGGAGCCUGGAAGGUGGCUGGGCACAGCGAGGUGGGUGGCUCAGCACAGGAGCACCCCCUACUGGCCCACCACACACCCUGCCCGUGGGGGACCCAGGCCAGAUCCGCGGAGAUCCUGCCCAUCUGCCUGCCUGUCCACUCCGUGCAGAGCCCCCAGCAGCGGGUGCGAGGUGGUUGGGCUGGGGUGCCCAAGGAGAGGGGCCUUUUCCGGCAGCAGUGACAGUGGUGACUUCUGGCUGCUGCAGUGUUGCUGCCACUGGAGCAGAGGAGACGCGGGUCUGUGGGUGCCCCAGCCCUCUUGUAUGCCCAGAGGUGGUAGAACUGGUUGCAUGUGCCACGGCUUGGACCGCCCCCAGUCUGUGGGCCAUGAAGGGCCAGGCAACUCCUUAUGGGCUAGAAAGGAUCAUGCUGUGGGCCAGAUCCAGCCCAUAGGCUGUAUUUUGCCCACCCCUGCUCUAGUUCUCAUGCUAAGGAAGAUUCUUUAUUUCUUUUCUGUGAAACCUGGGCAAACCAUUCACACCUUGAACAAGAACUGAAGAGUGAAGCUGAAUGUGAUCCUUUUAUGUACAGCAUGAAAUAACCUUGCGCUGUGCAUUUGUUCUGGUAGUUGUGACUCGUGGGAUGGACGAGAAAUCCAUUGGGGUUUCCUUCCACCGAUCUUAAUUUUGCCAUCUGUGAAGCUGCUAGUUUUUGUUUGGACGACACACUGAGUGUCACUACUUGCCCUCCAUCACGCUGAAUCCCCCUUCUUGUAUCCCUGCAGUAUUUCUGGUUGAGGCAGGGGGAGCUCGUGGCAUGCAGAAUGAUAACUUUUCAUAGGUUACAGUUCAUAAACUGCAUGUACAGCACAGCGGAUUAGCAGCCUGUCACUUCACCACUCAGCCACCUUGUCCAGACCUAGCUAAGCCCUUUAACUCUUUCUAAGGGUUAUUGCACUUAGGAUAUUUCACACCCAGGACACCUCCCCUUGCUGAAGAAGUGUGAUGCAUUUUUAGGCAUUUCCUGUGCAGUUCAGCACAGCUACCUACUAGGGGAACAUUGCUACCUGAUCUGACCAAACCCUCCCCUUGAUCCACACCUUGGAGAAUGGAUUCAGGAACGUGCAUCUUGGGCAGCGGCCUGUGAGGAGGGAACCGCUGAUACAAAGGAGAUGGCUGGGACCUGUUGGGAGUGGGCGUGCAGCUGCCAGGUUGGACUCAUGAAGUUGUGUUGGCUCCCUGGGGCUGGGAGACAGAAACGUGAACCCCAGGCCCCGGGUUCUGGUCAUUUUUGUGAAGAAUUUGCCUCCUCCCCUGCCAGCCUGCCCCACCACCAACUUGUUUAGCCUGUGCUAAACACUUCUGCCUUGAUUCCCAAAGCAAACACGUGCUCUUCACAGGAGUGAGAGGGGGGAUGACCCACAUUCCCCCGGGCAUUGUGGCUUAGUUGGUUAAAACACCUGUCUUGUAAAUAGGGGAUCUUGGGUUCAAAUCCCAGCAGUGUUUGUGUCUUUACAUCUCCCUGCAAGGCAAAGUUUUCCUACCGCUGGAGCAGGAUUGCGCCUUGUGUCAAUAUGUAGCUGGCUGGCUCCUUUUCCCCCCCCUUUGAGACUUUGGUAGACCCCCUCAUUUUGCUAUAGCAUCUAAACCUGUCUCUAAUGAACAAGAAAUGGGUUCAGCUGCAGGAUAAGUGCAGUGUUUACAGUGGGGAAAGAUCAGAAAGAGUGGGGUCUCUUCCCUGUUUCUAUGUGCAACUGCAGCCCUGUGCAAUGUAAACCCCGAUUCUUCAUAGGAAAUGCAUGUUUCUGAAUGCUGUUCUUCUUGUCAAGACACCGUCUCAUGUUUUACAGGUUCUCUGCGGUUUUCUGGGCCAGGCCCAAGUGAAAGGAAACUAGAUCCCAUGAGCCGUGCCAAGCGCCACAAUCCAGAUUCCAGGGGCAUCCUUUCCGAAAUAGGGUUUUUUGAUUUGGACUUUUCCAAAUGCAUUUAAUGGGUCACAGAUCAAGGAUGGGUGGGAAACCACCGAGGAGAAAAGUCAUCUCGAAAUGGACCGAGAGAGAGAGAGAAACUGAAUGAGAGUCUGAGUGCCCAGAGACCAGACCUGUGUCUUGUCCGGCCCAGCUGCCUAAGCCUGGCUGGCACUCUGCACGGUCGACCGCAGUGGAUUCAAGGCCGUGUUAUUUUCUGUUCAGUGCAUGUCCCUGACAGUCUGCACUUCCCACUGCUUGCAGUGUUGCCUUGUGGCACCUCCCUAGGACCGGCUCCAUUUUUCUAUGUGCUCUUCCUGCUGGGCAGGAGCUGGCUCCACAAUCCAGCUGGAAACCGGCUGCUUGCUGCUCCAGUCAUGUUAAGCGCACACUAUUCGGUGCUGCGUCCAGGCAAGGGUGCACUGUACUGGGAGCUGCUGGUCCAGCCUAAGCACACUGGCUUUCCUGGUGUCGUGCUCACAGUGCACCCUCAAGCAGCCCUCUCGGUUAUGGUGCGGGGAAGAGACUCCAGCUUCUCCCCUCCAAGGAGAACUGACCCAAGGAGUUUUCCUUCCCUAAGGAACAAAUUCAAACUCACCUGCAGCUGCUAAGGGGGGAGAGGGAGAGGCUUGAAGCACUGCGAGGGAGUGAAAGCCAGAAACACCAGGAAUACCAGGUGAGUACUGCCGGGAUUCGGCUGACAUUGGGGAGGAAGGAAGGGACGUGUCCUGCUCUGCAUGUUUGGUGGGACAGUGACCGUGGCAUUUUGUGACCGUGUGUUGCAGGGUGUUGUGGCAGAUGCAUGGAGCCAGGCCUUGCAAACAAAAAAAUUGUGUCAACUGAUAGCUAUAUAUAUAGAGGUGUUUCACCUUAAUUGCUGAAAAACGUGGAUUUGGGGUUUAUAUCAGAGAAGUUUGCAUUUUUAAAAAGACAAAACCAGGCUUACUGAUUAUAAGAGGAAAGCUUUCCUUGCUGACACCCAUGGACUUCUCCCCUCCUUAAGGUCCUGGCUCUCAGGGAAAUAGAAAAAACCUUUACAAAAUGAACAGAGUGAAGAGAUCCCAGGCAGGGCCCCAGGCCUGAGCUACCCCCAGCUCUGCUCCAGGCGGUGGGAGGUUGGGGGUCCCAGCCAUGUGGACAGU